rnacentral:lncRNA from 1 species
UGAUUAAUUGUGGACUAGGUUUCCACUAUCUGCACUAUUCGACAAGCAGUGUCACACUUACUUUGGUUUAACCACAAUAUUGUUAUAAUCGUUUAGUACUAUUAUAUUUUGUAUUAAGGUAAUUGAGGUUAAUUCUUCCAUUUGUUUCAGAUGGCUGUCAUACGUUAUGUUUUACGAAUAUGGGCUUAUGACCUGUCUUUGCAUAUACACUUCCUUUUACAAUAGUUAAUUGUUCACAAGGUUUCCACUAUCCGUAUUAUUCGACGAGCAGCACUACACUACAUACUACUGCACUGUGUUACCUUCUGAAAACGUUUCGUUUAUUGUUUAUUUCGGUUAUGCGCUAAUUUUAACUUAUUUAAGUGCACUGUUCACGGAAUCCCUUUCACUUCAAUCAUGACGUUUUGAUUUUCUAAAAUUUCUAACACUUUAUGCGGUCCUGAAUAUUGGUUGGAAAAUUUUCCUCUUCUGGGUU